rnacentral:rRNA from 1 species
GAUGAACGCUAGCGGCAGGCUUAAUACAUGCAAGUCGAGGGACAGCACAGGUAGCAAUACUGGGUGGUAACCGGCAAACGGGUGCGGAACACGUACACAACCUUCCUUUAAGUGGGGGAUAGCCCAGAGAAAUUUGGAUUAAUACCCCGUAAUAUAGUUGAAUGGCAUCAUUUGAUUAUUAUAGCUACGGCGCUUAAUGAUGGGUGUGCGGCUGAUUAGAUAGUUGGCGGGAUAACGGCCCACCAAGUCUACGAUCAGUAGCUGAUGUGAGAGCAUGAUCAGCCACACGGGCGCUGAGAAACGAGCCCGACUCCUACGGGAGGCAGCAGUAAGGAAUAUUGGUCAAUGGACGCAAGUCUGAACCAGCCAUGCCGCGUGAAGGAUUAAGGUCCUCUGGAUUGUAAACUUCUUUUAUUUGGGACGAAAAAGGGCCUUUCUAGGUCAACUGACGGUACCAGAUGAAUAAGCACCGGCUAACUCCGUGCCAGCAGCCGCCGUAAGAC